rnacentral:lncRNA from 1 species
CUUAGUCCAUUUAGCGAUUCCCCGUUCUUAGGCCUUUCAUUGUAGCAACGCAAGCCCAAAAUCCAUAAACCAAACAGCCCCAAAAUCAAUUGCCGGCCAGGCACCGUUUUCUCCAUUCUCUUUUCGGUCUUGCGCCAUUAACACCACCCUUUAACUCCCCCUUUUUCACUCCUUAUUUAACCUCUUCUCCUUAGAACGAAGAUGAAAAUUCAGAUACUGCAGAACCUUGCCGGAAUAAUUUCCUUGCAGCCAGAAGAUGGGAGAGGUGUUAUAUGGAUACAAUCGAUCGUUACUAAACCCUAAGAAUUAACGUCGUGUAUCUAUGAAUGUAGUAUCUCAGAACGCCUUAGCAAUUUCCACUUGCGAUUUGACAAUUUGUUCAAUCCAGCGCCUCUAUCCUUAGACAUAUGAUUUUGCAGGUAAUAAUUGGACUCUUCUUCUUCUUCAGCAAUUGGUUAUUUGCGUCCUAUUUUCUUGCUUUGUUUACAAUUAUAUACCUAUUGCUUAGACCUGCUAAUUACUGGCCUUUAUUUACAGAAAACGCUUUCUAGUUGGUACUUCUUUUUUUAGAAUUCCCCUUUUGGAUUUACUAAGCUCAAACGCAAAUAAAUAGAUAUUCAUAUUCAAGUGUUCGAAUGUGUUAUUCAUUUCAGUCUAAUUAAAAACUGAAGUUACAAAAUCAUACAUGAACAUUUGACCAUAAGGCGACGGACUUUGAUGAUCUCCAUGCUUAAUUGUAUAUGAAAUGGUCCAAAUUACGAACCAAAAAACAGAUUCUCUUGAUAUAUAGUAGCUAUUCUUUUUCAGUAUACCAAAUACGAUCGGAAUAUAUGAGAAUAAAUGCAUGAGCAGAAUAUAAGCAUCCGUACACAUUCUACCUGAAAUCCAUCUUCACAUGGGAAAUUAAAAAAAGGUAUGGUCACCUAUUUCCUGUAACAUUCAUUUACAAGGUAAUACAGCCUGUUAAUAUUAUUCAUCCAGUUACCAUUGUUUGUUAUCUUAAAAGCUGGUAUUCAAUAUUUACUAAAUAUAUCUAAAAUAAUAAGAGAUGGGGAAUUCUCUAUAUAUUGGAGUUACAAAUUACAUAGAACAAUAAUAAUGCUCAAUACAUAAGAAAGGUUUAUUGCAUGUAGUAACAUUGUGCAUAGAAUCUCGCUGUCCUUCCAAAGGCAAUGAUGGUUCUCGUGCAUGAGAAGUGGGUUGCAGCCAUGCAUGAAGAAUCAGAAUCCAUGCCCUUUUCUGUACCACUCAAUUUAUUCUUUCAAAAUACUAAUAGAAAAAAAGGACCCUCCAUGAAAAAGACUCUGAGUGUUUGACUGUCUUUUAAACAUAUUUUAGCUCUUUGGACUUCCCUUAAUGUGGAACCCAUGCCUACCAUUAGUCUUUCUAGCAAAAACAAGGUGGACACCGGGAUCAUGGUGAGUGCAAGAAGCAUUGUGGAGAAUGGAGUUGUUGACACCCUGCACGUUGCUGUUCAUGAA